AUGUCUGCAUCUGAAUUGUCAGAGUUAAAGAAGCAAUUGGAGGAGUUACUUGAGAAGAAGUUUGUAAGACCAAGUAUAUCGUCGUGGGGAGCUCCAGUGCUGUUACUAAAGAAGAAAGAUGGAAGUAUGAGGCUUUGUAUUGAUUAUAGAUAGUUGAAUAAAGUGAUGAUUAAGAACAAGUAUCUGCUUCUAAGGAUAGAUGACCUGAUGGACUAAUUGGUGGAUGCUCAUGUGUUUAGUAAGAUUGACUUGAGGUCGGGUUACCAUCAGAUUAAAGUGAAGGAUGAAGAUAUCCAUAAGACAGCUUUCAGAACGCGUUAUGGACAUUAUGAGUAUUCGGUGAUGCCUUUCGGUGUUACUAAUGCGCCGGGAGUAUUCAUGGAACAUAUGAAUCGUAUCUUUCAUACUUAUUUGGAUCAGUUUGUAGUGGUGUUCAUUGAUGAUAUUUUGAUUUACUCUAAGUCAGAAGAAGAGCAUGUAGAACACGUAAGAGUAGUAUUGCAGGUUUUGAAAGAGAAGAAGUUGUACGCAAAGCUGUCCAUGUGUGAAUUUUGGUUAAAGGAGGUUAGUUUUCUUGGUCAUGUGAUUUUAGGUAGUGGAAUUGUUGUAGAUCCAUGGAAGGUUGAUGUUGUGUUGCAAUGGGAAACUCCAAGGUCAGCUACCGAGAUUAGAAGCUUUUUGGGAUUAGCUGGUUACUAUAGAAGGUUUAUUGAAGGUUUUUCUAAGUUGGAACUUCUGUUGACUAAGUUGACUUGUAAAGGUAGAGCUUUUGUAUGGGAUGUUCAGUGCGAAGAAAGUUUUACGGAAUUGAAGAAGAGAUUGACGUCG